GUCGCCGCGUGCCGGCCGGGGG
rnacentral:siRNA from 1 species